rnacentral:rRNA from 1 species
UACGGAGGGGGCUAGCGUUGUUCGGAAUUACUGGGCGUAAAGCGCACGUAGGCGGCUUUGUAAGUUAGAGGUGAAAGCCCAGGCUUAACCCUGGAAUCGCCUUUAAGACUGCAUCGCUAGAAUCGUGGAGAGGUGAGUGGAAUUCCGAGUGUAGAGGUGAAAUUCGUAGAUAUUCGGAAGAACACCAGUGGCGAAGGCGACUCACUGGACACGUAUUGACGCUGAGGUGCGAAAGCGUGGGGAGCAAACAGGG